rnacentral:misc_RNA from 1 species
AGGUGAACCUGCGGAAGGAUCACCAACAAAAGGGAUUAAAAGCGUGGCGGGCGCAAGUCCGCUUUCGACGCUUAUCCCGAAAUCCUGUAUUCACCCCAAGUUCCUUUUAAAAUUUUACGAAUAAAAACUUGCAAAAAAGACCACCUUCGUUUGGUGGCGCUUAAUGCAUACGUGAAAACUUUCAACAACGGAUCUCUUGGCUCUCG